rnacentral:rRNA from 1 species
UACGUAGGGUGCAAGCGUUGUCCGGAAUUAUUGGGCGUAAAGAGCUCGUAGGCGGUCUGUCACGUCGGCUGUGAAAACCCGAGGCUCAACCUCGGGCCUGCAGUCGAUACGGGCAGACUAGAGUUCGGUAGGGGAGACUGGAAUUCCUGAUGUAGCGGUGAAAUGCGCAGAUAUCAGGAGGAACACCGGUGGCGAAGGCGGAUCUCUGGGCCAUUACUGACGCUGAGGAGCGAAAGCGUGGGGAGCGAACAGG